rnacentral:rRNA from 1 species
GACGAACGCUGGCGGCGUGCUUAACACAUGCAAGUCGAACGGAAAGGCCCUGCUCUUGUGGGGUGCUCGAGUGGCGAACGGGUGAGUAACACGUGUGUAACCUGCCCUUGACUUUGUGAUAACUUCAGGAAACUCGGGCUAAUACCGGAUAGGAUCUCCUGCUGCAUGGUGGGGGUUGGAAAGUUUCGGCGGUUGGGGCUGGACUCGCGGCUUAUCAGCUUGUUGGUGGGGUAGUGGCGUACCAAGGCUUUGACGGGUAGCCGGCCUGAGAGGGUGACCGGCGACAAGGGGACUGAGAGACGGCGCAGAAUGGUACGGGAGGCAGCAGUGGGGAAUAUUGCGCAAUGGGGGGGAGCGUGAUGCGGAAACGCCGGGUGCGGGAUGACGGGCUACGGGUGGUAAACCGCUUUGGCCUGUGACGAAGCGGGAGUGACGGUAAUGGGUAAGGAAGCACCGGCUAACUACGUG